CCGCACCCCCUCUCGGUCACGCCGCCCCUCCACCCCCACUUCGAGAGAGGCCGAGACAGACUCUGUCUAAAGGAGAUCGCGGCUCAACAGUGCGGCCUCCAGCCAGCAGCCAGAGGAGUCUGCAGUAAACACAAGCCAGUAUAUAAGCUCCACGGGGGCCAUCGUAACCUCUGCUUCCGUGACUGCUCUAACCCUAAGACGUAAGAGAGACCCUGGCAUACAGUAAGGACGGAGUGCUCUUUUACUGGACCUCGGCCCGUCUUGGGAAAUGGCGCUGCUGGACUCGUUAUGCGGACGGGGACACUAAGGGGCCACCAGAGAGCUCCGCAGGCAGCGAGGGGAGGAUUCCACCUGCCACUGCCAGCUGUGACGAUGGGGGGGCCCAAGCCGAGGCCCCUGGGAGCUGAGAGUGGCCCCUGGCUGCCCGCCAGCCAGGAAAUGGACCCUGCAGUCCUGCAGCCGCCAGGAACGAACUCCACCCACAACCCGGGCGAGCGUGGCGGAGGAUCUUGCCCU